rfam:Fukomys damarensis contig104982, whole genome shotgun sequence.
GCAGAUGUAGCUCAGUGGUAGAGCACUCACCUAGCAGGUGGAAGGCCUUGGGCUCAAACCCCAACAUCAGAA